GACAAGCAGACAGCUCCCGUGAGCAAGCAGACAUGUGUGGCUGUGGGAUCAGAUGAAGAAUUGCACUUUGGCUCAGCUUCCCAUGUUCACUACCCAGGAACAAAUUCCUCAGGAUCCUGAAAGAGAUGGAAAGCUAAAUUUUCCAGUGAAUUUCCCACAGAGUUGUCACUUCACCAGCUGAGCCAGAACCACUGCUACCGCCACCAACACAGCCUCUGUACAACCACAGCCAUGGCCACAUCCAGCUUCUGCCACAGAACUGAACAUUUGUCAGCCUGACAACUCCAGGAACCAGCUCACUUCAGUUAAGGGUGAGUUAAUCUCUGAUGUCCUUCUCAUCAACCACCUCUUGUAAACACCUGGUGACACUUUACAGCACAAGGUCAAAGAUAAAGCCAGACACAUUUUUAAAAAGGGGGAGCACUGGGAUACAGAAUACUCUCCUGCCUUAAAUAGAACCAGAUUAAUCUAAAUGCAAAAUGUGGAGCAAUGUCUAAGAUAUGAUGUUAAGUGAAAAAAACAAAGGUUGCAAAAUAGUAUACACACUGUGAGUUCAUUUUUAUAACCCCAUUUAUAUUUAAUGCUUUUAUGUAUAGAAAAAGAGUGGAAAAGAUGUUUAUCAGUCUGUUAUAUAGAAAGAGUUAUGAGAGGACUUUGAAUUUUUUAUAGUCAUGUCUGUUAUUUUUGCAAUCAGUAAAUAGUUUUUUGUAAAAGGGACUUGAGAUAACAACUCUUACUUUCAUACCAUUUAUUUUUUGCUUUACCAUUAAAAGAAUUUUACCUAACUAAAGGAAUCUCUAUGUAUAUCUUUGUUUAGAUUUUUAUUAUCUCUGAUUUCUAACUUAUUCUUGCCUCAAAAAAAAAAAAAAAACAUAUCUCCAAGCACUUCAGAUUUCUCACAAACUUCAUCCUGACAC